rnacentral:rRNA from 1 species
CCGUGCGGGUGCUUACACACUGCAGUCGAACGAUGAAGCUGGAGCUUGCUCCGGUGGAUUAGUGGCGAACGGGUGAGUAACACGUGAGAAAUCUGCCCUUGACUCUGGGAUAACUGCGGGAAACUGUAGCUAAUACCGGAUACUUUCCCUGGUGGGCAUCCACUGGGGAAGAAAGAAUUUCGGUCAAGGAUGAUCUCGCGGCCUAUCAGCUAGUUGGUGAGGUAACGGCUCACCAAGGCGACGACGGGUAGCCGGCCUGAGAGGGUGACCGGCCACACUGGGACUGAGACACGGCCCAGACUCCUACGGGAGGCAGCAGUGGGGAAUAUUGCACAAUGGGCGCAAGCCUGAUGCAGCAACGCCGCGUGAGGGAUGACGGCCUUCGGGUUGUAAACCUCUUUUAGCAGGGAAGAAGCGAAAGUGACGGUACCUGCAGAAAAAGCACCGGCUAACUACGUGCCAGCAGCCGCGGUAAUACGUAGGGUGCAAGCGUUGUCCGGAAUUAUUGGGCGUAAAGAGCUCGUAGGCGGUUUGUCACGUCUGCUGUGAAAAUCCAAGGCUCAACCUUGGACUUGCAGUGGGUACGGGCAGGCUAGAGUGCGGUAGGGGAGAUGGGAAUUCCUGGUGUAGCGGUGGAAUGCGCAGAUAUCAGGA